CCUUGUAUAAGAGGAGUUGUAGAGAGCAGGAGGAUGCACAUGAUAACGGCACACUUGCUGUCCAUGUUGAUGGUGUUGGAACCUCUCUGACCAAGAUCUAGA